rnacentral:rRNA from 1 species
AUCAUUUAAAGAAAGCGUAAUAGCUCACUGGUCGAGUCGGCCUGCGCGGAAGAUGUAACGGGGCUAAACCAUGCACCGAAGCUGCGGCAGCGAACGUAUCACUUAAAGCGAUUCAGCGGGUUACGAUUGACGGAGCGAAGCGACGUCAAAGCGUAUACAAAGUCGAGUCGGUUUAAGGAUACGUUCGUUGGGUAGGGGAGCGUUCUGUAAGCCUGUGAAGGUGGCCUGUGAGGGUUGCUGGAGGUAUCAGAAGUGCGAAUGCUGACAUAAGUAACGAUAAAGCGGGUGAAAAGCCCGCUCGCCGGAAGA